GUUAUAGGGUCAAGUGAACAAGUGCAUGUGGUGGAUGCCUUGGCGACAACAGGCGAUGAAGGACGUUGCAGCCUGCGAUAAGCCCCGGGGAGCUGGCAAGCGAGCUUUGAUCCGGGGAUUUCCGAAUGGGGAAACCCGGCCCGCAAGGGUCAUCCUCACCCGAAUCCAUAGGGUGAGCGAAGCGAACCUCCUGAACUGAAACAUCUCAGUAGGGAGAGGAACAGAAAUCAACCGAGAUUCCGAGAGUAGUGGCGAGCGAAAUCGGAACAGCUUCUGCGAUUUAGCCGUGUCUCUAGCCAAACGGUCUGGAAAGUCCGGCCAUAGCGGGUGAUAGCCCCGUAGGCGAAAGGGAUGCGGUGGAACUAGGCGCAGGUCAAGUAGGGCGGGACACGUGGAAUCCUGUCCGAAGAUGGGGGGACCAUCCUCCAAGGCUAAAUACUCGUUGUCGACCGAUAGUGAACCAGUACCGUGAGGGAAAGGCGAGAAGAACCCCGGGAGGGGAGUGAAAUAGAUCCUGAAACCGCAUGCAUACAGACAGUGGGAGCCCGCAAGGGUGACCGCGUACCUUUUGUAUAAUGGGUCAGCGACUUACGUUCAGUAGCAAGCUUAACCAUCUAGGGAAGGCGCAGCGAAAGCGAGUCCGAACAGGGCGCUUCAGUUGCUGGACGUAGACCCGAAACCAGAUGAUCUACCCAUGGCCAGGCUGAAGGUUGGGUAACACCAGCUGGAGGGCCGAACGAACCACUGUUGCAAAAGUGCGUCGAUGAGCCGUGGGUAGGGGUGAAAGGCCAAACAAAUCUGGAAAUAGCUGGUUCUCCCCGAAAACUAUUGAGGUAGUGCCUCGUGAUACACCGUCGGGGGUAGAGCACUGUUAUGGCUAGGGGGGCAUGGCGCCUUACCAAACCAUGGCAAACUCCGAAUACCGACGAGUGAAUUCACGGGAGACAGUGCACCGGGUGCUAACGUCCGGACACGAGAGGGAAACAACCCAGACCGCCAGCUAAGGCCCCCAAGCGAUAGCUAAGUGGGAAACGAGGUGGGAAGGCAUAAACAGUCAGGAGGUUGGCUUAGAAGCAGCCAUCCUUUAAAGAAAGCGUAAUAGCUCACUGAUCGAGUCGUCCUGCGCGGAAGAUUUAACGGGGCUCAAGCUAUCUGCCGAAGCUGCGGAUCCGUGCGCAAGCACGUGAUGGUAGGGGAGCGUUCCGUACGCCUGCGAAGGAGGAUCGUGAGGUCCUCUGGAGGCAUCGGAAGUGCGACUGCUGACAUGAGUAGCGUUAAUGCGGGUGAAAAGCCCGCACGCCGUAAGCCCAAGGUUUCCUGCGCCACGUUCAUCGGCGCAGGGUGAGUCGGCCCCUAAGGCGAGGCCGAAAGGCGUAGCUGAUGGAAAACAGGUCAAUAUUCCUGUACCUCGCCGUGAUGCGAUGUGGGGACGGAGAAAGUUAUGCAGGCCGGGUGUUGGUUGUCCCGGCUUAAGCGAGUAGGCGUGCCGCGUAGGCAAAUCCGCGCGGCUUAGCCGAGACGCGACGACGACUGCCCUUCGGGGCGGGAAGCUGCAGAUACUCUGCUCCCAGGAAAAGCCACUAAGCUCCAGUCAUGGCGGGACCGUACCGCAAACCGACACUGGUGGGCGAGAUGAAUAUUCUCAGGCGCUUGAGAGAACUCGGGAGAAGGAACUCGGCAAAUUGACACCGUAACUUCGGAAGAAGGUGUGCCCCUAGUAGGUGAAGGCGUACAGCUGGAGCCCAAUGGGGUGGCACAGAAUAGGUGGCUGCGACUGUUUAUUAAAAACACAGCACUCUGCCAACACGAAAGUGGAUGUAUAGGGUGUGACGCCUGCCCGGUGCUGGAAGGUUAAGUGAUGGGGUGCAAGCUCCUGAUCGAAGCCCCAGUAAACGGCGGCCGUAACUAUAACGGUCCUAAGGUAGCGAAAUUCCUUGUCGGGUAAGUUCCGACCUGCACGAAUGGCGUAACGCUGGCCACACUGUCUCCUCCCGAGACUCAGCGAAGUUGAAAUGGUUGUGAUGAUGCAAUCUACCCGCGGCUAGACGGAAAGACCCCGUGCACCUUUACUGUAACUUUGCAUUGGACUGUGAACCGAUCUGUGUAGGAUAGCUGGGAGGCUUUGAAGCGGUGGCGCUAGCCAUCGUGGAGCCGUCAGUGAAAUACCAGCCUGAUCUGUUCGCGGCUCUAACCUAGGCUCGUCAACCGGGCCGGGGACCGUGCAUGGUAGGCAGUUUGACUGGGGCGGUCUCCUCCCAAAGAGUAACGGAGGAGUACGAAGGUACGCUUAGCACGGUCGGAAAUCGUGCCUCAAUGUGCAUUGGCACAAGCGUGCUUGACUGCGAGACUGACAAGUCGAGCAGGUGCGAAAGCAGGUCAAAGUGAUCCGGUGGUUCUGUAUGGAAGGGCCAUCGCUCAACGGAUAAAAGGUACGCCGGGGAUAACAGGCUGAUCUCCCCCAAGAGUUCAUAUCGACGGGGAGGUUUGGCACCUCGAUGUCGGCUCAUCACAUCCUGGGGCUGUAGCCGGUCCCAAGGGUAUGGCUGUUCGCCAUUUAAAGUGGUACGUGAGCUGGGUUUAAAACGUCGUGAGACAGUUUGGUCCCUAUCUACCGUGGGCGUUGGAAGUUUGAGAGGGGCUACUCCUAGUACGAGAGGACCGGAGUGGACGCACCCCUGGUGUACCGGUUGUCACGCCAGUGGCAUUGCCGGGUAGCUAUGUGCGGAAGAGAUAACCGCUGAAAGCAUCUAAGCGGGAAACUUGCCUCGAGAUGAGACUUCCCGGGGGCUUGACCCCCCUGAAGGGUCGUCCUAGACCAGGACGUUGAUAGGCGGGAUGUGCAAGGGCCGUAAGGCCUUGAGCUAACCCGUACUAAUUGCCCGUGCGGCUUGACCCUAUAACC
rnacentral:rRNA from 1 species